CAGCCCUGCCCCAGACCUAAAUGCCCUCAGCAAACUCAUCAAGCUUGAAACACACACAACAGCACUGAACUCAAGAAACAGAAAGGGUAGAGAUGAGAGGGAUUCACAGGAAGAAGGGGAGGGGAGAGUGAGGACGGCGCCGGCGGGUGUCACUGCCGCCGCGCCGUCAUGUCGCGCAGAGAAGAGAGGUGCGAGCUGAGGAAGGAGAAGGAGGAGAAGGCCGCGCUGUUGCCACCGCCGUUUGGUCUGUCCACGAGCUGCUAUCAGAAUCGCGCGAGGAGGAGCGUCGCCGUCUUGUGGAGCCGUGUCGUUGCUGUUCAUCCCACUGCCAGAGCAGAGACGCACGAGGGAGGAAGCCGUCGCGAGGAGGCCGUCAACGGUGCGAGCUUGCAGAGGAAGAGAGGGAGCCCGCGAAGUCGCUGCUGAGCCGCCAUUGAUGCGAGGAACAGAACACGCGAGAGUGGUUCGAGGCUGCGCUGUUAGCUGCUUUUGAAUCCGAGGAACAGAACCUCUUCUGCUUCUGCUGUCAUGCCGUCGUCUGCUAUGAAGAGGAUGAUGAGGAAUCCUUAUGAGUAUCACCACGAUCUGGUCUUCAGAAGACAUGGGGGGUGACAUGUACUGCCACUGAGAAUGAUGUAGAUGUUUUGAUGGCUGCAUAUGCAGUUCGUCUUAAAAUUGUGCAUGAAAGGGGCUUAAUCUGUUAAACAAGGAAGGAAAUGAUCAAGCAAAGCGUGUUCAUUCUACUGACAAGAAACUCUCUAUUCAUAGUCAGCAUGCAACCAUGAUCAAUGGUUUACAAGAUGUGCUUAAAGAAAAACUUGAAGAGUAACAAAUACAAGAGGAAGAAUUAGCUAGAGUGAAAACUCAAUUGAAACCUCAAUAAGUCGUACUCUUUCAUAGCGCGUUUUGACGAUAAAAGAAACUAGACAAUUAAAGGAGUACUGAAAUGGUGAUCAUAUGAUACUUUGAGGGCUCAAGAAUAUUUUGAUGCAUAGAAAUACUAAUCUAUGUUAGAACUUUUAUGUUUUGGUUGAACUUAUAUAUGCAAGACAUAUAACUUGUAGAACUAAUUAAUGUACUCACUAAUGUUAUUUUGUUUGAAAACAAUU